rnacentral:lncRNA from 1 species
UGUAAGGGGUGAUAAAAUUAUUUUAUUCUUAAAAUGAUUACUUUUCAACACCGUCAACUAAAAAUAUAACCACUUAUGUAUUCAUGCAAAAAUAUGAUGUUUUAAGAGAUACAUAUGCAAAUAGUAAUUUUCGAAGGCUAGAAAUACAAUAAACUAUUUUUGUAAGGGUAAUGAACAAAAAAAAGGAUAAAAAGGGAAGAAGAGGAAUAACAUGACAAGAGAAGAAAAUGAUCUUUUUAAUGAGUAGAGCAAGAACAAGAGGACUGACAUGAGAGUGGGCCAUUGAACAACUAGGCAGCAUAUUGAAGGCUUGCUAGUAGUAGAAUAGGUAUUGGAAAGCUUCAUAAGAGCCUCCAGUUGGUGAUACAUAUGCGAAGGAGGAGGUUCCGAGGUAAGAAGAAAUAGGAAAAGGAAUAAGCAAAGUAAAAGCAUCUUGUAAG